CUGAGGCAGGCAGUGAGUUCUUCCCAUGCAGCAGCCUUUCAGCAGGAGGUGGGUGAUGUUCAUGGCAACCUGUCACAGGCAGGUCUGAGCUGAGGCCUUCUGAAGUGGAAACCUUUGAAAUAGGGUCUGAGAGCUAAUAAAGUGGAGCUGUUUGAUCUAUAAUGUGAUGAGUGGCUGCCGUGGGCUGUUCUCCCCUUGGAGAAGCUGCAUGAAAAGCCAAUUGCACCACUGACUGCUGGUUAAGUAAUUCAUGGGUUUCUCCUAGAAGUCCUACAAAGAUGAUCAGAAAGUUGUAUUAUGGCCUUGUGCAAAAAUGAUCUGCUAGGAGGAAGUCUAAAAUUGAAAUGUCUUGGAAAUAAAUCUCUGAGAUGUGUUUCUAAUACACCUUGAACUUUCAGGUAAAUCAUUCUGAUCCUCUGUUUAUUAAUAAUGGUUGAGAUAGAAGAUGUAGCAAACUUUAUAGCAAAAGUGUAUCACAGAAGUUUUUCAGAAUAAAAAAGAAAUGUUUGUUGGUUAAGACGUUAGGGCAAAAGUAUGUUUUAAUCAGCUAUAGUGGCUUGAAUUACAGCCAAAAGUGACAUGAGUUGGUCUCUCAAGAUCUGACAGGCCCUUGAUGUGUGGCUUAACAUGGCAGUGACUGGAGGGGAUCAAGAAUCCCAAGUGCAGGUGGUUUUAUGGCAAUGAGCAGGCUGGUUCAGUUAUGGAGUUGGAGGGGUCCAUCUUAAUCAACAGCUUGUGUGACAAAAGUCAUGAUUUUUAGGAAAGUGCUGCAGUGUUUAAGAUGGAAUCACAGGCACACUGGGCUCUGAGGCUCCAGAAGGUGCAGAAGAGAUGAGACUUGCAGGCUGCCAGCUCUGAGCAGAAGCCCUCCUCAUGCUGAGCACAGUUAGUGUGUGCCAUGAAAACAUCCAAGCUGUGUGUUUAAACUCCCUGCUGUGAGCAUCUGUCCAUGCGCAGAGCUGGUGGUGUGAUGGGGAAAGGGGGCCUUGGAGCCACAUUCAUAAAUGUCAUUUGGGAGGGGACACUGGAAUGACUCCUGAUGCAGUUUCCUGAUGUGCCUGGUCAGUUUAUGUCACACAGGGAAAACAAAACUGCUGUUUAGGUUUUAUUCAGUUGCUGUGCCUGAGAAAAGGUAGUAAAGGACUCGCUGAGAUGGCAGUGCUGUGUCACUGUCAGCUGUCAUGGGGUUUAUCAAUUCUUCUAAGAACAGCACAGCAAACCACUGUGGUUUUGGCACAAGUCUUGGCUGCCCAGAAAACAGGGGAGUGAUCUAACACCUUCUGUGUCCUGGAGGCUCUGCUAGCUUAGAGAAGUGCUUUGAUGGUAAUUAAUACUGGUGCACCAGAGAGAAUGGGUGGGAAAGAGGAGGAGGAGGAUGAAGGCUGGUUGCUUACAGAGCAAUGUAUAUCUGAGCUUGCCACCUACUCAGGGUAUGGCAGAACUGCUGCAUAAUACCACAGGGAAUCACUUGAGGAGCAAGAUCUCAUUUAGCAUGGAGGGGAAGGGGUGGUGUUUCACACAAUGAAGACUGUGCAUCUCCCUGAAGGGGCUUAUGUGUGGAACAAGGCAAACCCACAGCCAGAGGGGCUGUGGGUGCCUGUGCCAGGCUGCUGUGAAUUGUGGAUGACAUGGCUGCUGCUUGUAGACACGAGCAGCAAACUACAGCUCCUGGGUGCCCCCAACUUCAGCAUUACAGGAGUAGCCUCAACUCUGAUUGUCUUUAGAAAUUACAGGUGUUGCACAUUCCCAUGGUUAGGACAGAGUGAAGAGGCCAGUAACUACCAUGACUGGAAAGUUCUAAAUUCCAUUGAAGUUUUUAUUCAUUGGAUCUCAGAGAGAAUAGUUUAAUAUACAGACAGAAGUUUCAUGUCUUCUCCACGUAACAGCAUCUUUCUUUAAACCCAGGAUAACUGAGCUGAGCAGCUCAAACCCGUGUCCAUAUGCUUGCUUUGUGCUGGAUGCAGGAGUCCUGUGGCUACCUCAAGACUUGCUGUAUUUUCAGUAUAGGAAUUUGUGUGCAACUGCUGUACAGGGCAGCAUAAUUGGAUUUACUGAACUGUAUUUUGUCAUCUUGCCCUGGUUUAGCCUUCCUUCUACUGUAAUCCAAAGUUACCCAGAUUUAAAAAAAAAAAAAAAAAAAGUUUCUUUGAGUGAAUCUGAACCAGCAGAAUGCUGAGCCUGACUUUAUUGCAGGCAGGAAAUCCCACCUUUGGUGUGUGCCAGCACCUAAGAAAAGGGGAAGAGGGAAGUGUUAUUUGCAGGGUAUGUGACCCUUUUUUGGGAUCUAAAGGCCUUUUUAGGAUUUUGCCUCGUGCUCAUGCCUGGAGCAAGAAAGGGUCUUUUGUUGUAACUGUAACAAGAGUACACACAGGCUUUUUACAGCGUUACAAAUAAAUGUGCUGGAACCUAUAGCCCAAAGUGAAGAUGAAUUCAGGGCCCUGAAAGCAGUGGCAGCUCCAGUUUCUUUCACCUGAUUGUACCAAGGAUUUGGGUCACAAAAGAGAAGGAUAAUUUACAGCUUAGCAAAUGGGAAAAACUCUUUCUAGCUGACUUGCUGGAACUCAACCCUGCAGCAAACCACUAAAGUCAGCAUUAUGUCGUGAGCAAUUAAGUGAGAUGACACUUCUUGCAGAAAGAGGGGUGCUGUUUUGGGCAGGUUUAUAGAUGCAGCAGUUCUUUGCACGUGGAAGUUACAGGCUGACUUGUUAGUUGCUUGACAUCAGUCAGGCUUGGACACCAGUCAGUCAGUAUUUUUUUCCUGCUUCCUCUGUAAUCAAAGACACUUUUCCAAGGUGAUGCUGAUUGCAGCAAGAUAAACUGGACAUCUUGCUUGUUAAGCAGAUGGUUCCUUCUGCAUGGAUCCCUUCAGUGCUGUGCCAGCAGGGGAUCGGGCAGUCAAACAGUGCUGGGGAGGGCCUGAGAUGAAGGAGCUUUCUGCUGCAGAUUUCAGUGUGUGCAUUCAGCUGCAGAUUCAUAGUGAGAGGCACUGCAGGUUGCCCCGGAAAAGUAGAUGGACUUGGGUAUUUCUUGGUUUGCAGGGGGUGAGGGCAGUACGGGGGCCACAAAUCACAGCUUCCCUGUUCUUCCAAGUGAGAUACUCUGUAACUGCCUGGGCAAAUUACCUUAGCUACAGCAGGACAGGAGUAAAACUGAGCAGGAGAUGCCAGGCAUUUUCACAAUGGGGAAAGAAGGAUGUGCCAACAUCCUUCACCAGCCUAGGCCCAGUGCCGUGUGGCUUCUCCCAUGUCCCACUCCCAUAUGUGCCCCUCUCCCAUUCCUGCAAGGCCACAGGAUGCCCGCCAGCUCCUGGAGUGGGCCCAGCUCAUUUUGAACUGCCACUGACCUGCAGUUGCCAGGCUGCUGCUGAAGAGCUGUCAGCCUUCUCAGCACCUCAGAGAUGAUAAUCCCGAGGGAGCUUUUGGAAUGACCUCCUAGUGAGCCAGCUAACAUCAGGCCUGAGCACAGACAGGCAUUACGCUAAUACAGUAGCAUUUUGUGUAUGAGUGAAAAGUCUUCUUGGAUAAUUAAGACUGUGUCUAAAAUCACAGUUACAGUAUGCUGAUCUAUAAGGAAACUCAGGGACAAGAGCAGCACACCUUGGAAGAAGCAGUCAAAAAGCCAGACCCUCACAGGUUUGCUGCAGAUGAAGUCACAGGCAGUACAGAACUGUGAGAGGCUCAGCCACUGCACAGGUAUUUCCAAAGACAUGAAUGAAGACGAGAAUAAAGAUAAAUGAUAAUGAUGUCAUCUCCAUUGUGCCACUCACAAGAGCACCAAAGACACUUCCAGCUCUUCAUUUGCUAAAGAAACUUCCCCAGCCUUUGCAUUCUCCCAGAUGUCACACCCCAUCCUCCCACCAGCAUCAAGCAGCAAAUCUUGGAACAGCAAAACAGGAUCUGCAUCUUGGGAGGCACCAAACUUGCCAGGAGCCCCAGAAGCCCCUUGGGCAGGUAUCAAAUUGUUUGAGCACUGUGCUCUUUUGAAAGUCAAACUGACGAGGACUCAGGAACCUUGUGUCUUCUCAAAAGAGGCCAAUGGAAUCCAUCUUUUGUCAGGUAGCAGGACACACACAGUCUGUUCUCAGGAAGAUCAGGAGUCAAAAAAAAAGAACACUUCAGAACACUAUUGAGAGACCUGAGCCAUUGUGCAGGCCCAAGACGGGGCAAAGAGGACUCAUUGAGACAAGGUGCACCUGCUAAAACUGGCACUAAAACCAGGCAGCUACUGCAAACCAGCAGUGCCCAGCACCAACAGAAAGCAAGUCUUUGUUCUUCUGGCACAAGAGGACUCCUUUACUGUGAGUACCACAUACAGAUCAAACGUUUGUAAUCAAAAAUAAAGAAGCUAGCCAAGGGAUUUGUAUUAAAAUAAAGAUUGCAGAUCACAGUGUGAACGUACCAGUGAGUCCCAUGCCCAGCCAAGCUCUCCCCAAGCAACCCUUCCUCUGAAGGAGAGCUGCAAGGAGACAGCCUGAGCCAACAGUUUCUACAGCAACUGCAGAAGCACCAGUUCAAUGAUAUUCAAACCGUGCAGUAACUGCAGAAGCAUCAGGAAAUGGAUACUCCAGAAGGAACAUUUGACAGUUUCUCCUGGGCUCCCUCUGCCUCCCUGGGCAUUCCAUUGAUCCCAAUCAGCUUAGGUCAACUCUGGAGUUGCCCCUUUCUCUGCAAAUGCUUCUGAAUCCUCUUUACUCUAAUAUUCUCUCAGCACACUUACUCCCUUUCAAAACUUAAUGGGACAGCCACCAGAGAGAGUUUUGUAGACACGGUGCUGGAAGGAUGAGUGUCCUCAUCCUGCAAGGGAGAGACCAAUGCAUCCACGUGUGCUGCUGCUGCAACUCCUCACAGAGGGUGGAAUGCUGUUAUGACAGUGGCACUGGGCUGCUGCUGCACCACUAAAAGCACAUUUGGAAGCAUCUCAAGGGGAACCAAAGCAGAGGCCAGUUAGCACCCAACUGCACAGAAAGAGCAGAUCCAUUUGUAAUGUGGCUAUUUUAAAACUAAUGUAGAAGCCUUAUUAAGGAACACAAAAUAUUUCACUAUACACUUGCUAAGUUCUUACCUAAGAAUUGUCAUUUAUGGAAGGAUGUUUAGGGCAGGACAUCUCUUAUUCCCCUUUUAAGAAUCUGCUGUAAUAAAUCACAGCACCUCAACAGUCACAGUUUCAUCAGUUCCAUAUUGCAGGAGUUUUUCCCUAAGUCUGCAGUGUUACUUUGGAUCACGCUGAAAUACUUGGCAUGAAGCUCAGGCUCCUGACCCACAGCAAAAAGUUAAACAAAAUUGCUCGUUUGUUUUUAAAAGGGUCAGGAGGUUUCCAGUUUCAGGCUCCUCAGUGUUCAGGUUGAAGGGAACAGUAUCCACAGUGACAACUCAGGGACAUUCAGUAUUCAAGCCCUCUGCAAAGAAUGGGCUUGAUCAGAGACCUGUCAAAGAUGCACUUUGUAAGCUGUUCUCUUUUAUUAGUUUAUUACAUAAGGCCACAUCCACAAAACCAGGUUUUUGGUUGAGAGAUCACUACUGACUUCCAACUACCUGCUUUAAAAAAAUAUCCUUUAUCUCCUGAGCUAACAAAAGUUGCUGAAUUCCCCCAAAAGACAAGGCAGACCAUAUAAACAUAUUCAGUGUAAAAGACAAUCUCAUUCCUACACUAAUGGUAGAAGAAAGAAAACAUGAAAACAAAAAUAUUUUGGUUUUAUCUUCAUGCCUUUUAUCAUGAUUUAUCCAGAUAGCACCAUCACUAUUGUGACUGUGACAGUUGUUAUUUCUAAAAUAUGAAGAACUAUGAAAUCCAAAGUGGAAAAGCAUCAUAUAAGUUGCUAAAGCAUGCAGAGAUGACUUCUGGAUCAAAUAUAUUCCUUAGCAGGCCAGUUUUGAAGGAAUAAAGACUGCAGUUCCAGACAACCAUCUUUUAACACAAAUUAAAAUUUAUGAACAGUGUCAGGUUCCACAAAAUUUGCUAAGACUGAAAAUUCAACCAAAUUUUUUAAAUUGUUGAAAACCCCCCAGUUACAGGAGGUUCUUAUGUGCCUCCAAGGUGGGAGUCAUGAUUCUUUUCUCUUACACAAAUUUAGACAACUGUGUUCUCUCUUCAGCCUUCUGGCCAUCUGUAGAGAUGAGGAGGUGUGUACAGAUGUGGGCUCAGAGCAGAACAAGCUACUUCUCUGAGCUCAUAUUUUUGGCAGUCACCAAUUUCACCCUCACCCACCAGAAGCAAAGAAGUUAUCUGUUUUGUCUCCCCGCCCUUUUCCCAGUAUUUGCCUUUCUUCCUGGCUUUUCUAGAACACUUGUCACCAUAUUUACUGGAGUACAUUUAUUACUGGUUUUAAAGUAAGAGUUUUUGUGAGACAGGAAAACAUUUCAGAUCUUUAUAGGGGGAACUUCAGAUAUGAAGAAAUAAAAUUGUGUGGUAAGUCAGCAGCAGCACCUGAAAAGGGAACAAAUGCUGCCCUAAUCAAUACUUGCAGGUUAAUUGCCAGACACUUCACUGGAACACAGUGUUGCUCAGUGCCUGCUGUUGAAGAGUUUUACCCACUUCCAGUUUUGGAAGCAGUGCUCCCAGUUCUCCUACACCCCAUCCCCGUUUACCACACACUGCAGUUCAGCCCCGGUGAUGCUCUUUCAGGUCACCCAAAUGGCACAGCUGAGCACUUUAAAGGAACAGAUUAAGUCUCUGCAUGAUUGAAGACUUGGACAGCAUGGCUGGGUAACCAAAGAAGCCCUAAUCUAUUUGCCAAGUCCAAUUACCUAGCCAUCGAAUCAAGAGAUCACAAAGCAUUAGGACAUGGAAUAACUGUUCACCAAAUACUUUUAGCUCUCUGAAAAGAUGACAGUCACUGAGAAACUAUGACAUGGAAAAGGCAUCAUUCAAAGCAGAGGUGGGGAGAAAUCAGUUCUUGGACAUUUAUCUUUUCCUCUCAAUUAUGAGAGUAAAGGGGAAGAGAUUGGGAUUGGAAGAGCAGUAAGAAUCCAAAUGUUGAGUUUCUGUUUCCUUGAAAUCCCAUCAAGUAUCCUGCUUGGAGAUCCAUGUUUGCUCCUUGUUCCAUCAUACCACAGCCCUCAGCUUUCCAGUGGCUGUGUCUGUUCUCUGGAGUCACAGGCUGUACAUCUACCCUUCAUUCCAGAGUCUUUUCUAUUAAAGCAAAUCCCUUCAGAUUGUCACAUCAGACAUAGAGCAAUCGGGCAGAGCAGAGAAGGAAAAGUAGAAGAGUACCAGGAGGGUCACAGAGCAAACUCAAUCCCCAUACCUAGAGAAAAAGAACAAGUUUCCGCAUGCAAAGAGCUGCCCCUUUCAGCACAGCUGUAUCAAAAACAGGAAUAAAUUACUAAUAUGUCUCCUUGUCUUCAUACUGGAAAAUGGCUGUCUUCAGCCAGCCCCAGCAUCAGUCACACCUGCCAAAACAUCACACAGCUUUCUCAGCUGGGAAAACCAGCCACGCAGGUUGGGCCACUGCCACCACAGCCAGGGAAGGAACACCACAUAAAUAGCUGUUAUGUGCAUUCAGCUUCAAAAUUGAUCAAACUUUAACACGCGUUAGUCAGCACUUCCACAUUCACUGAUGUGAUUUGUUUUACAGUUAAAAACAACCACCUGCAGCCCCAUCCCAUGGACCUUCCCCACACAGGGUGCCACCAUUGGACCCUUGAUGAUCAUGCUCCUACUCUGUCAGAAACACAGCACCAGCUGACUGCCAUGGGGCAGCUAACUCAAAUGCUUUCUAUUUUCAUUUUUUAAUACAAGUUGUAAUUUGUUUGUUGAAUGGAUCUAUUCAUACUGUCCUGAUAUGUCGCCUCCAGGUGAUGUGUUUGGUCCAGCUGGUCGGUGUCUUGCUAAGCAGGCUGUAAAAAGACCUUGUAAAUCAAACACCUUUAUUCAGGUAUAUACCAGCUGGCAAUUGUAAAACAUCACCUAUUUCAACAAUGGCAACUGAAUUCAGUGGAGUAUAGCAUGUCAGCUUGUUUCCUUGCUGAAUUUUGUACAGUCUCUUUAGUGAGCAAGAUAGCACACUUAUAAUUUCAUGUUAGUUCAUGUUAUGAAAAAAGACACCAUGUUUAUGGAGAAGGUUAUAUUGGGACCAUGCUUUGGCUGCUACAUCCUAGCAAAGAAAACAAAGCCCUGCAACAUGUGAAGAAAAUUUUAUGCCUCUUUCAAGAUCAACCAUGAUUUACCACAAUCUUGUUAUGGGACCCAUCCCCUGCAAAUUACAGACUAAAAAAAAGAUGCAUUAAUUUCACAAUGUCAGUGGAACUAUGGUAAACCAUUUUUUGGCAAAAUCUUGGUGGAAGGAAUCAGUUGUUGUGUGCCCAAAAAGCUCCUGCCCACAGCCUCUGGCCUCCUCAGCCUCUUGAGGGAGUGUUUUGCUAAAGCUCAUUUCUGGAAGCACAAAGCAGCUGCACAGAGGUUGUGGGGCUGGGCUUCCCACACACCCGUGGGCUGUGCCGGCCUUUCCACAAGGCAGAUCCUGCUGGCUGAGAACUGGGAUUAGGGAACAUUUGGUUUGGGGUCGUUACCAAGCCAGUCCAAUAGCUCUGGAGGAACUUUGCCCCAUGGAAUAUCAUCCCCGUGUGUCAGGGAAUACUGAAGACUCUUGAGGGCCCAACACUUAAGACGCUGUGCCAACACUCCAAUCUGCUGUGUUGCAAGUCAAACAAGAAAUGUGUUCAGUCGAAGUGUCUUCCCUCCCAAGAAUCAGAGUUAAAAGAGAAAAGCACAAGACCCUAAACUCAGCCUGCCCUUUGCUCCUACCAGGGGGCAAUUUCUAUGGGGUAGCACCAGUUUCUCACCAUCGAGUUCAUUUACUGCCAAGCCAAAUGCCAAGUUCUGCUUUAAAAUCUAAAUGAAUUCUGGUUCAUAAGAUUUCUUCAAGUUUUGUGACAUCUCACAGCUACCCACGAGUAAGACUGUUCUUCCCAACCAGAUACUCAAACAUAAAAUUUUUCAAUAAAGACAGUUUAAACUAAAUGCACAAAAAGAACAAGAAGCAGCAAAAUUUAAUUUACUGGCAUAGCCAUACACACCCCAAUUUUAUUUUCUUUUUAAGCAUACAAUUAAGGGUAAUUUAAUUCCCCUGUAUAGGCAUUACAUGAAAGAGAAACGUUAUUGUAAAAGAGCUCAAUACUGUUGGUACACAAACCUUACGACAGAUAAAUUAGACCUUAGGAAAACAGCAUAUAAUUUACAUUUUGUUAUGUCAAUCACCAGGAGCAUCUUAGGGCUCUUAAAUAGCACACUAAACCACAACAUAAGGGAACUAAUGUAAAUCAACACAUGUGGCAGGAUCACUUAAGUUUCCACAAUCCAAAAGAUCCGUAAAAUGGAUUUCAUAAAUGAUUCCUCUUCAACAUCCACUUACACCUUUAAGUUAUCAGCAGGUUAUGACAAUAUUUUAAGACAGAAGAGUUAUAAAGUUUUGCAUAGUUAUAGAAAAAUCAACCACAUAUAACCAUAAGGGCAUGGGGUUUACUAAUUAAUCCCUGGUCCUCAUUAUUGGAGAAGCCAGUGGGCAGAUGUGCAGGUGGCCCAGAGAAACAGCAGCCUGGCUCAGCUGCAUGGAAAAUCCAGCCUUGGGUUAGUCCCAGACUUGGGUUUAGCAACAGAGGAGGGACAGAGCAGCCCAGGACGAUGCUUUACAUACCCUUCACAAACAGCAGAACAAAUGACAUACUCUGAAUUUGUUCUGGGGCUUCCCCUACAGCCAGCACCUGAUCCACAUUCUGACACCACACAGGAAAUUAGCAGAAAGGUCAGGAUGUGCAUUGCACAGCAGAGCCAGGAGCACAAGGCAACAGACCAACGUGGGGUGGGCUCCAAGAAUUCUGUCCCUUCCAGUCCAUGGUAUUAGAGGACCAGAAACAUAAUUUACCUACUAAAUAAAGUCUGAAAAUUCAGAGUGCAAGAUGUUUACUUGCUCAUAUAAUUCUUAAGAAUUCCUCUACAGGUUUUUUGUUAAGGGACAUGAAUUGGGGUUUUCAAAGAAGUUAAAUAGGAACACUGUCCCUCUGUGAGCUGACACAGACACAAACUGUGACACUGUUUUCUGUCAUCAGUGCUCAGUGAAAAACUCACACAUAAGAAGGAAAAGCUACACAACUGCCAAGAACUGCAGAAGUACAACUGGAAAAAAUACUGUCUUUGGCCUUGUAGCUUGUAUCAAUUAUUGCUUUUAACAAAAGAUACCAGCAAUGCCUUUCAGGUAAGGCUUCUCCUUCCUUAAACAUCAAGUACAAAGUUUCUGUUUGUCAAAUCACACUGCAAGUACAACAAACGUAGUCAAACUAUGGUUUCUACAGAAGGGUUUGAGACUUGCAUUUUUCUGUUCUUUAAAUCUCUUAACAUUUCUUUCAUAUUGCUUUAAACAGGAAUUUUCCUUUUGAUUUCCUCACUGCAGCAUAUUCAGCAGCAAAACAAUCUUCACUUGCCAAUACUGCUGGGCUACAGCAAAUCCAGGACACCGCAGCAGCCAAGUGCUCCUCAUGUGGCUGUUGUCAGAAAAGUCCUCGCUCUCCCCAGCCCAAUCCAAAGUAAGGUACUGACCCAAAAUGCUGAGAUGGUGAGAGACACCAUAAACCCGAACUCACCAAGAGCUGGAGCUGAGCCCAGAGAGGUGCAGAGUGACCCUCUGCAUCCUCAUCCCCCUAGCAUCUCCCUCAGCAGCCAGAACAUCCCAGCACCUCCCUCCCACCUGCUCUGAGCGCUCCCCCUCACCCAGUCCAGCCUGUAAAAUACACAAACUGCCACAGUUCUACUCCUUCUAAAUUGAUACUUUGACACAUUGGCUACUUCUAGGAGUAUGUACCUCACCCCAGCCCAGGACAGAGCUCCAUGUUUUAACAGACACUUCACCAAGCAUGCUCACGGUGCCUUUUUACACACUCAGAAGAUUGUUAACCAGCUAGAGCCUUUCCCACUCCCCUUUUCCAGCCAUGCUCUUCAAAGAGCUCUAUUUACAUGCCAAGCUACAAAGCAACGUGGAAAAACUGAAGCUUUUAUGAUUCUACAGUGAGGUUUUUCACAACAUGAAGCAGCUUCUUAGACUAUUUUUUUUUUCAUUUUUUUAUUUCCAAACAAGAUUUCACAGUUAAAAAAAAAAAAAAUCUCAGUCCACCCACAGGCUUUUGAGGAACAUUAACAGAGGGUCUUCAAAAGAAGAGAGCUCUGCAACCUUAAGCAUUGCAUUCUGAAUGAACAUCCAUGGAAAAACUGCGUACAAGUCAGAAACAAGAGUCACCAAAACCCACAUAUGCACCAGAGUUGAAACUAUUUCUCCCAUGUUUAGGUCUGGCAUGGCUUGCCUUAUGCCAUCUUCUGUUGUACCUUUCCAAUUGCUUACUGUCUUCUCAUUUACUUCUGAGCCUUUGGUUUGAAAUCAGCUGUGUCUGAAAUCCCUUCUAGGACAAGCCACCAAGCCAGUGUUGGUCAUUUCCUCAGCAGCAUUGAUACCAGUUUGCCCUGGGGCUCCCCCAGCCCCCAACACACAAGAAUUUCUAUGUGGAACCUUUCUCCAGUUCCCCGAGAAAUCAAGUCCUAGAUUUCCACCUCAUAUUCUGUCAACCACACAGAGCAAGAACUGACACUUCAUCAGCAUCUUCUUUGUGCAGAGAUGAAAAAUACUGCCAAGAGUUCAGCAGAAACGAGUCUGGAUGAACAGCCUGUGCAAAUAAAGCCCUUUAUAAAACCAGGACUAACCAAACUCGCAAGACUGAAGAUUCUCUUUGAACUACAAAUGCCAAAGGAGCACCAGACUGGCACCAUCAAUGAUGAGAUUCUGAGGAACACAGAACUGAAAGCAUUAAACCCUCACUGUUAGCAAUCCUACUCCCUCUUCUCCACAUUUCUCCCUGCAUUCUACACAAAAUGAAGCAUAGGAAAAUGGUUGGAAAGCUCCAGACAGAAGAAAAUUAUACAUGCCAAGAACUUCCAGGGACAAGUCUAACUUCCUAAAAAUGACCAGGAAUUUAGUAGAAGCUUCAGCCAUCUGCUGACAGAUUUCUCCUUCCUCUUUACACUGGCAGGAAAUAACUACAACCCAGCUUGUACACCUUCCAUGGAAGAGGUGGGCUCGUUAAAUUCUUGGAAAACAUUCUUCAGAGAGAGAACAACGACCUUGAGCAAACUCAGAAGUACAGCAAUGCAACCUCUCCAGGGACACUGCCAGGCCUUCCUCGCUUGCCAUUCCAAAAGUUUUGUUUUAAGGCCUCCCCUCCAAAUAGCCAGCACUGCUCCAUACUCCUUCCUUCCUUCCUCUCUGCCACCACUGCUGCUUCCUUUGGGUCUCAAAAAUGGUUUCCAUGUCUUUAAAAAUCAAAGAAAACUAGACCAAGUUUGCAAACAGUCCUUUCUUCUCCAUUCCUUCUAAAGAUGUUAAAGUAUUCUGCAUGAAUGGAGGAAAUUAUUUUAAUUUUCUGUUUUUACCCUAGAAGGCCAGGCUUCAAAUGUUUGCUGGAACACAAGUAUUUUAAUUUAAGUUAAAUAGCCCAGCUAUUUUAAUUAACUUACAGUUUCAUAAACAUUUUUUGGAACUGGAGAUCUGAAAUAUGUGACAUUCUUCAGAAUAAUCCUCACUUAAAUCUUUCUCUGCUUUAACCACACUUAACAUUUCUGAGUUGUCACAACAAAGUACAGUAAAACUUUUAAAAAUUGUUAACAAACUAGAGGACACAGAUACAGAAAAAAAUUAAUUCCAAUGUAUCUAGGACCCCCUACGUUAUCAAUUUGCUCUUCUGCCAUACCCUGUGCAGGAACUGCUUGGAAUACUCACUCUCUUAUUUCUGUAAAUCACAAGGCACCCUUUUCACAGCCACGUAAAUAAAUAAUAAGACAUUUA